rnacentral:tRNA from 1 species
GGCGACAUGGCCGAGUGGCUAGGCAGAGGUCUGCAAAACCUCGUACGGCGGGUCGAAUCCGCCUGGCGCCU